rnacentral:rRNA from 1 species
UACGGGGGGGGCAAGCGUUGUUCGGAAUUACUGGGCGUAAAGGGCUUGUAGGUGGCCAACUAAGUCAGACGUGAAAUCCCCCGGCUUAACCGUGGGAACUGCGUCUGAUACUGGAGGGCUUGGAGUAGUGGGAGAGGGAUGUAGAAUUCCAGGUGUAGCGGUGAAAUGCGUAGAUAUCGGAGGAACACCGGUGGCGAGGCGGCGAUUCUGGACUGCGAACUGACACGUGAGGAACGGAAAGCCAGGGGAGCAAACGGG